rnacentral:rRNA from 1 species
UACGAGGGGGGCAAGCGUUGUUCGGAAUUAUUGGGCGUAAAGGGCGCGUAGGCGGUGCGGUAAGUCUGAUGUGAAAUUCCUGGGCUCAACCUGGGGGCUGCGUUUGAUACGUAUGGACUUGAGUUCGGAAGAGGGUCGUGGAAUUCCCAGUGUAGAGGUGAAAUUCGUAGAUAUUGGGAAGAACACCAGUGGCGAAGGCGGCUCACUGGCCCGAUACUGACGCUGAGGCACGAAAGCGUGGGGAGCAAACAGG